CCUACGAGUGGCAGCAGUCGAGAAUCAUUCACAAUGGGGGAAACCCUGAUGGUGCGCCGCCGCGUGGGGGAAUGAAGGUCUUUGGAUUGUAAACCCCUGUCAUGUGGGGGCAAAUUAAAAAGCUAGUACCACACGAGGACGAGACGGCUAACUCUGUGCCAGCAGCCGCGGUAAUACAGAGGUCUCAAUCGUUGUUCGGAAUCACUGGGCGUAAAGCGUGCGUAGUCUGUUUCUUAAGUCGUGUGUGAAAGGCGCGGGCUCAACCCGCGGACGGCACAUGAUACUGCGAGACUAGAGUAAUGGAGGGGGAACCGGAAUUCUCGGUGUAGCAGGGAAAUGCGUAGAUAUCGAGAGGAACACUCGUGGCGAAGGCGGGUUCCUGGACAUUAACUGACGCUGAGGCACGAAGGCCAGGGGAGCGAAAGGGAUUAGAUACCCUAGUAGUC
rnacentral:rRNA from 1 species